rnacentral:misc_RNA from 1 species
GAUGAAGAACGUAGCGAAAUGCGAUAAGUAAUGUGAAUUGCAGAAUUCAGUGAAUCAUCGAAUCUUUGAACGCACAUUGCGCCCGCCAGCAUUCUGGCGGGCAUGCCUGUUCGAGCGUCAUUUCAACCCUCAAGCUCUGCUUGGUGUUGGGGCCCUACGGUUGACGUAGGCCCUUAAAGGUAGUGGCGGACCCUCUCGGAGCCUCCUUUGCGUAGUAACUAACGUCUCGCAUUGGGAUUCGGAGGGACUCUUGCCGGAAAACCCCCAAAUUUUCUAAUGGUUGACCUCGGAUCAGGUAGGAAUACCCGCUGAACUUAAGCAUAUCAAUAAGCGGAGGA